UUAUGAUGUUAGUUUGAUUCUGGCUUUGGUAUUAAUUUUUUGGAAUUUAUACAUGUAAGUUUUUGCUUUGAGUAUAGUUUAUCUUUUUGUUUGCAGUGUUUAAUAUUGAAUGAUGAAGUUGUUUUUGAUUUGGAUAUUUAUAUUAAUAUUGUAUAUGUUUGUGCCAGCAUACGCGGUUAUACAAUAAAUAUAAGUUAAUAUUUUUGGUUAUUAAAAGUUUAAUAUUUAAUUUGAGUUUAUUAUUUUUGUUUUUAGGUGAAAUUUUAAUAUUUAUUAAUCUUUUUUUGAUUCUGUUGAAAUAUAAUAUAUAAACUAGGAUUAGAUACCCUAUUAUUUUAUACGUUAAUUGUUUACCUGGGUAAUAGUAGUUAUUUUCUUUAAACCUAAAGAAUUUGGCGGUAUUUUAGUCUAUUCAGAGGAAUUUGUCCCUUUAUCGAUAGUCCUCGUUUUAUCUUGCUUGAUUUGGUAAGUUCAGUAUGUAUAUCGCCGUUAUAAGCUUAUUUUUUGAGAAUUAAAAUUUGCUAAUUAUUUUAUUUUAUUAUAUUUCAGGUCAAGGUGCAGCUGAUAAUUAAGUGGUGAUGAAUUACAAUAUAAUUUAAAUAUAUGGAUUUGAUUAAGAAUAAUUUAGUCAUUGAAGGUGGAUUUGAUAGUAAUUUUGAUUAUAGUGUUAAUUUGAUUUAUAGCUCUAAAAUAAGUACAUAUCGCCCGUCACUCUCAAUUUAUUUGAGAUAAGUCGUAACAAAGUAGGUGUACUGGAAAGUGUAUCUAGAAUGUUU
rnacentral:ncRNA from 1 species